GCCGCUAUAGCUCAGUUGGUAGAGCAACGCAUUCGUAACGCGUAGGUCACCAGUUCAAGUCUGGUUAGCGGCU
rnacentral:tRNA from 1 species